ACGCUGUAAACGAUGUCGAUUUGGAGGUUGUGCCCUUGAGGCGUGGCUUCCGGAGCUAACGCGUUAAAUCGACCGCCUGGGGAGUACGGCCGCAAGGUUAAAACUCAAAUGAAUUGACGGGGGCCCGCACAAGCGGUGGAGCAUGUGGUUUAAUUCGAUGCAACGCGAAGAACCUUACCUACUCUUGACAUCCAGAGAACUUUCCAGAGAUGGAUUGGUGCCUUCGGGAACUCUGAGACAGGUGCUGCAUGGCUGUCGUCAGCUCGUGUUGUGAAAUGUUGGGUUAAGUCCCGCAACGAGCGCAACCCUUAUCCUUUGUUGCCAGCGGUUCGGCCGGGAACUCAAAGGAGACUGCCAGUGAUAAACUGGAGGAAGGUGGGGAUGACGUCAAGUCAUCAUGGCCCUUACGAGUAGGGCUACACACGUGCUACAAUGGCAUAUACAAAGAGAAGCGACCUCGCGAGAGCAAGCGGACCUCAUAAAGUAUGUCGUAGUCCGGAUUGGAGUCUGCAACUCGACUCCAUGAAGUCGGAAUCGCUAGUAAUCGUAGAUCAGAAUGCUACGGUGAAUACGUUCCCGGGCCUUGUACACACCGCCCGUCACACCAUGGGAGUGGGUUGCAAAAGAAGUAGGUAGCUUAACCUUCGGGAGGGCGCUUACCACUUUGUGAUUCAUGACUGGGGUGAAGUCGUAACAAGGUAACC
rnacentral:rRNA from 1 species